rnacentral:rRNA from 1 species
GACGAACGCUGGCGGCGUGCUUAACACAUGCAAGUCGAACGGAAAGGCCCUGCUUUUGUGGGGUGCUCGAGUGGCGAACGGGUGAGUAACACGUGAGUAACCUGCCCUUGACUUUGGGAUAACUUCAGGAAACUGGGGCUAAUACCGGAUAGGAGCUCCUGCUGCAUGGUGGGGGUUGGAAAGUUUCGGCGGUUGUGGAUGGACUCGCGGCUUACCAGCUUGUUGGUGGGGUAGUGGCUUACCAAGGCUUUGACGGGUAGCCGGCCUGAGAGGGUGACCGGCCACAUUGGGACUGAGAUACGGACCAGACUCCUACGGGAGGCAGCAGUGGGGAAUAUUGCACAAUGGGCGGAAGCCUGAUGCAGAAACGCCGCGUGCGGGAUGACGGCCUUCGGGUUGUAAACCGCUUUCGCCUGUGACGAAGCGUGAGUGACGGUAAUGGGUAAAGAAGCACCGGCUAACUACGUG